rnacentral:lncRNA from 1 species
CUGAAUUUCCAUCCUGUUCAGACACCUUAGUAAGCUGCUUCAAUCAUCAAAAACAGCAAAGAAAACAAAAAAAAGCCCUCAGUACAAUGAAAACAUAAAACUUCUCGCAAAAAACAAACCCCCACAGUUGGACAAAACCCUCAUUGCAUAAAAUAACAUAAACACCAUUUUACUGCAUGCCCAUAAAAAAGGAGUCAUAAACUAUUAAGCAGGGUUGCAAUGGAAUGGUACAAAGGAUGUGAGUUCAUUAAUUCAAUUCAUAGCCACUCGCCAAGAAAGA